rnacentral:tRNA from 1 species
CAGCGUAUAGCGCAGCCCGGUAGCGCGCCACUUUGGGGUAGUGGAGGUCGUGGGUUCGAAUCCCGCUACGCUGACUA